rnacentral:rRNA from 1 species
AUUUAUUGGGUUUAAAGGGAGCGUAGGUGGACAGUUAAGUCAGUUGUGAAAGUUUGCGGCUCAACCGUAAAAUUGCAGUUGAUACUGGCUGUCUUGAGUACAGUAGAGGUGGGCGGAAUUCGUGGUGUAGCGGUGAAAUGCUUAGAUAUCACGAAGAACUCCGAUUGCGAAGGCAGCUCACUGGACUGCAACUGACACUGAUGCUCGAAAGUGUGGGUAUCAAACAGGAUUAGAUACCCUGGUAGUCCACACAGUAAACGAUGAAUACUCGCUGUUUGCGAUAUACAGUAAGCGGCCAAGCGAAAGCAUUAAGUAUUCCACCUGGGGAGUACGCCGGCAACGGUGAAACUCAAAGGAAUUGACGGGGGCCCGCACAAGCGGAGGAACAUGUGGUUUAAUUCGAUGAUACGCGAGGAACCUUACCCGGGCUUAAAUUGCAUUUGAAUAAUCUGGAAACAGGUUAGCCGCAAGGCAAAUGUGAAGGUGCUGCAUGGUUGUCGUCAGCUCGUGCCGUGAGGUGUCGGCUUAAGUGCCAUAACGAGCGCAACCCUUAUCUUUAGUUACUAACAGGUCAUGCUGAGGACUCUAGAGAGACUGCCGUCGUAAGAUGUGAGGAAGGUGGGGAUGACGUCAAAUCAGCACGGCCCUUACGUCCGGGGCUACACACGUGUUACAAUGGGGGGUACAGAAGGCAGCUACCUGGUGACAGGAUGCUAAUCCCAAAAGCCUCUCUCAGUUCGGAUUCGAAGUCUGCAACCCGACUUCGUGAAGCUGGAUUCGCUAGUAAUCGCGCAUCAGCCAUGGCGCGGUGAAUACGUUCCCGGGCCUUGUACACACCGCCCGUCAAGCCAUGAAAGC